GGGCUUGGGCGGGCAGGCUACACAUGCAAGUCGAGCGGAUGAGAAGAGCUUGCUCUUCGAUUCAGCGGCGGACGGGUGAGAAAUGCCUAGGAAUCUGCCUGGUAGUGGGGGACAACGUUUCGAAAGGAACGCUAAUACCGCAUACGUCCUACGGGAGAAAGCAGGGGACCUUCGGGCCUUGCGCUAUCAGAUGAGCCUAGGUCGGAUUAGCUAGUUGGUGGGGUAAUGGCUCACCAAGGCGACGAUCCGUAACUGGUCUGAGAGGAUGAUCAGUCACACUGGAACUGAGACACGGUCCAGACUCCUACGGGAGGCAGCAGUGGGGAAUAUUGGACAAUGGGCGAAAGCCUGAUCCAGCCAUGCCGCGUGUGUGAAGAAGGUCUUCGGAUUGUAAAGCACUUUAAGUUGGGAGGAAGGGCAGUAAGCGAAUACCUUGCUGUUUUGACGUUACCGACAGAAUAAGCACCGGCUAACUCUGUGCCAGCAGCCGCGGUAAUACAGAGGGUGCAAGCGUUAAUCGGAAUUACUGGGCGUAAAGCGCGCGUAGGUGGUUUGUUAAGUUGAAUGUGAAAGCCCCGGGCUCAACCUGGGAACUGCAUCCAAAACUGGCAAGCUAGAGUACGGUAGAGGGGUGGUGGGAA
rnacentral:rRNA from 1 species